rnacentral:rRNA from 1 species
GACGAACGCUGGCGGCGUGCCUAAUACAUGCAAGUAGAACGCUGAAGGAGGAGCUUGCUUCUCUGGUCGAGUUGCGAACGGGUGAGUAACGCGUAGGUAACCUGCCUGGUAGCGGGGGAUAACUAUUGGAAACGAUAGCUAAUACCGCAUAAGAGUAGCUGCUGCAUGACAUUUGCUUAAAAGGUGCAAUUGCAUCACUACCAGAUGGACCUGCGUUGUAUUAGCUUGUUGGUGGGGUAACGGCUCACCAAGGCGACGAUACAUCGCCGACCUGAGAGGGGGGUCGGCCACCCUGGGACUGUGACACGGCCCAGACUCCUACGGGAGGCAGCAGGAGGGCAUCUUCGGCAAUGGGCGGAAGUCUGACCGAGCAACGCCGCGGGAGUGAAGAAGGGUUUCGGGUCGUAAAGCUCGGUUGUAAGGGAAGAACGAGUGUUAGAGUGGAAAGUUCACACUGUGACGGUAUCUUACCAGAAAGCGACGGCUAACUACGUG